UCCAUCAUCCGCACAAACACAUCAGCCUUAAAUUGACAACUGAGCAGGAUUGUCGUCUCAAUUCUGACUCCUGC
rnacentral:lncRNA from 1 species